AUGUUUGCCUUCAUUUCCGCUAGUGCUUCUUAUACCCACAAUAAGGGAAUUUAAAACUUGCACAGCAGGGUUGCGCAGCAUGCUAUAAGUGGCCCCUGUAUCCACCAAAAGCCCACCCCCAGGGGUCAGUUUCCAUCCUUCCGAAGGGCACUUCAGGCCCAACGUUGUGCUGAGGCGAAAGCAGGAGGGGGCUGUCAAACAGCUGCCAAAAAGGGGCGGUUUGUCAUUUCAUUCACUUAUCAGCCUUCUUCAGCUCCUUUCCAUCAUCUGUAACCUUCCUGAUCCUUCUCCUUCCCUUUACUCCUUUCUUUCUUUCCUCUUUCUUUCCUCUCUUUUUCUGUCAUUCUUUCUGUUUCCUUCUUCCUUCUGCCUGUCUGUCUUUUUCUUUCUCUCACUUUCUUUUACUUUCUUGUAACCUGCUUCCUCAUCUCUCUCUCUCUCUAUUUCUUUCUGUAAAUCUACCAAAUAUCUUACAAUAUAUUUAAUCCUUCCCUUCUCUCUCUAUCUGUAGGUGUCCUUUCUUAUCUCCUUCCACUGUUACUCUCCAUCUCUUGCGCUGAUCUUUUCCUCUGCUUGUUCCAACAAUUCCUUACUGCCUGUUCUCCUCCCAUCUUGCUACCCUCUCGUUGCUCCAUUUCUCUGCCUCCCACUCAUGGGGUUCCUUUGUGGGGAGGGGAAGCAAGUGACACCACACCCCGCAUCAGGGCUUUGAGUGGAGAUGAUCUUCUAUGCAGCCAUCUUCAUUGGCUUGCAGACCAUGCCCCCUGUUCAACUAACACGUAAGGUUAGUUUUUUCUCUAAUACCUAUUCUAAUGUGAAUACAGUUCAUCAAAUCUAUAUUCCAGGUCUGGGUGAGAGUGCCAGUCCUUUGACUUAGCAUGACAUAAAACACCCAUGCAUGGUUCAGCAAUUAAUAUGGAAAAUACUGUAUGGGAUUAGGCAGGGUAUGAAAAAAUAGUUUGCACAAUAUAAUCUAACAUUAACAUAUCUCUCACAGAGGGGGCAGAUUCUAGACUGACUUUGGUGAGUGAUGCCACCAUGUACCUCAGCAUGUUGGGUAUAGAGUGGGGGUUAAUUAACCCAAAUAUGGAAAAGCCAAUGGCUUUGAGUGGGGGAGCUUGAAUAGGAUGCCUGUGGAGACUUGAGGAGCUAAAUAGCAUCUAUACCUCAUUCAGAUGCGUACAGGAGAUCCAGGAAUGCCAGUUGAACUUAGGUAUAUAAGACUGUGAACAUGAUGUUAGCUAUCGCAGUUGGCUGUAGUGCUAAGAUGUGGAAGGAAAUAGGAAACCAUGCUGUUAUAUCAUCCACAUAUGCU
rnacentral:lncRNA from 1 species